UGAAUAAUGUAUCGGAACGUGCCUAGUAGCGGGGGAUAACUACACGAAAGCGUAACUCAUACCGCAUACGCCCUACCGGGGAAAGCAGGGGAUCGCAAGACCUUGCACUAUUAGAGCGGCUCGAUAUCGGAUUAUCUAGAUUGGUGGGGUAACGGCUCACCAAGGCGACGAUCCGUAGCUGGUUUGAGAGGACGACCAGCCACACUGGGACUGAGACACGGCCCAGACUCCUACAGGAGGCAGCAGUGGGGAAUUUUGGACAAUGGGGGAAACCCUGAUCCAGCCAUCCCGCGUGUGCGAUGAAGGCCUUCGGGUUGUAAAGCACUUUUGGCAGGAAAGAAACGUCAUGGGCUAAUACCCCGUGAAACUGACGGUACCUGCAGAAUAAGCACCGGCUAACUACGUGCCAGCAGCCGC
rnacentral:rRNA from 1 species